AGUGAACGCUGGCGGCGUGCCUAACACAUGCAAGUCGAACGAUGAUGGAGGAGCUUGCUCUUCCUGAUUAGUGGCGCACGGGUGAGUAAUGCAUAGAUAAUGUGCCCCUUAGUUCGGGAUAGCCACUGGAAACGGUGAUUAAUACCGGAUACUCCUUCUUGUCAUAAGAUAAGUCGGGAAAGUUUUUCGCUAAGGGAUCAGUCUAUGUUCCAUCAGUUAGUUGGUGAGGUAACGGCUCACCAAGACAAUGACGGAUAUCUGGUUUGAGAGGAUGAUCAGACACACUGGAACUGAGACACGGUCCGGACUCCUACGGGAGGCAGCAGUGAGGAAUAUUGCACAAUGGAGGAAACUCUGAUGCAGCAACGUCGCGUGGAGGAUGACGCAUUUCGGUGUGUAAACUCCUUUUAUUAGGGAAGAUUAUGACGGUACCUAAUGAAUAAGCACCGGCUAACUCCGUGCCAGCCGCCGCGGUAA
rnacentral:rRNA from 1 species